UACGUAGGGUGCGAGCGUUAUCCGGAAUUACUGGGUGUAAAGGGUGCGUAGGCGGCUAUUUAAGUCAGAUGUGAAAACUCAGGGCUCAACCUUGAGGCUGCAUCUGAAACUGAGUAGCUAGAGUGUGGGAGAGGAAAGUGGAAUUCCGAGUGUAGCGGUGAAAUGCGCAGAUAUCAGGAGGAACACCGGUGGCGAAGGCGGGUCUCUGGGCCGAUACUGACGCUGAGGAGCGAAAGCGUGGGGAGCGAACAGG
rnacentral:rRNA from 1 species